AUUGAACGCUGGCGGCAGGCUUAACACAUGCAAGUCGAGCGAUCGGCGGACGGGUGAGUAAUGUCUGGGAAACUGCCUGUUGGAGGGGGAUAACUAAUGGAAACGGUAGCUAAUACCGCAUACCAUCAGUUGCGCCCAGAUGGGAUUAGCUAGUAGGUGGGGUAAUGGUCCACAUAGGCGACGAUCCCUAUCUGGUCUGAGAGGAUGACCAGCAAAACUGGAACUGAGAAACGGUCCAGACUCCUACGGGAGGCAGCAGUGGGGAAUAUUGCACAAUGGGCGCAAGCCUGAUGCAGCAAUGCCGGGUGUGUGAAGAAGGCCUUCGGGUUGUAAAGCACUUUCAGCGAGGAGGCGUUACUCGCAGAAGAAGCACCGGCUAACUCCGUGCCAGCAGACGCGGUAAUUC
rnacentral:rRNA from 1 species